CUUGAAAGAUAGGGUAUAUUUUAUUUUGAUAUAUGUAAUUAUUAUAUUUAAGAAAAAAAAAAAUAAGGCGAUACGAUGUUCGCCAGGUUAGCUAAUAAUUUAUAAAGCUUAUUA